rnacentral:rRNA from 1 species
AGAACGAACGCUGGCGGCAUCCCUAAUACAUGCAAGUCGAACGAACACUUCGGUGUUAGUGGCGCACGGGUGCGUAACGCGUGGGAAUCUGCCCUUGGGUUCGGAAUAACAGUUGGAAACGACUGCUAAUACCGGAUGAUAUCGAAAGAUCAAAGAUUUAUCGCCCAGGGAUGAGCCCGCGUAGGAUUAGCUAGUUGGUGAGGUAAAGGCUCACCAAGGCGACGAUCCUUAGCUGGUCUGAGAGGAUGAUCAGCCACACUGGGACUGAGACACGGCCCAGACUCCGUACGGGAGGCAG